rnacentral:rRNA from 1 species
UGGGGAAUUUUGGACAAUGGGCGAAAGCCUGAUCCAGCAAUGCCGCGUGUGUGAAGAAGGCCUUCGGGUUGUAAAGCACUUUUGUCCGGAAAGAAAUCCUUGGCUCUAAUACAGUCGGGGGAUGACGGUACCGGAAGAAUAAGCACCGGCUAACUACGUGCCAGCAGCCGCGGUAAUACGUAGGGUGCAAGCGUUAAUCGGAAUUACUGGGCGUAAAGCGUGCGCAGGCGGUUUGCUAAGACCGAUGUGAAAUCCCCGGGCUCAACCUGGGAACUGCAUUGGUGACUGGCAGGCUAGAGUAUGGCAGAGGGGGGUAGAAUUCCACGUGUAGCAGUGAAAUGCGUAGAGAUGUGGAGGAAUACCGAUGGCGAAGGCAGCCCCCUGGGCCAAUACUGACGCUCAUGCACGAAAGCGUGGGGGAGCAAACAGGAUUAGAUACCCUGGUAGUCCACGCCCUAAACGAUGUCAACUAGUUGUUGGGGAUUCAUUUCCUUAGUAACGUAGCUAACGCGUGAAGUUGACCGCCUGGGGAGUACGGUCGCAAGAUUAAAA